rnacentral:misc_RNA from 1 species
GAUGAAGAACGCAGCGAAAUGCGAUAAGUAAUGUGAAUUGCAGAAUUCAGUGAAUCAUCGAAUCUUUGAACGAACAUUGCGCCCCCUGGUAUUCCGGGGGGCAUGCCUGUCCGAGCGUCAUUACAACCCUCAAGCUCAGCUUGGUGUUGGGCCCCGCCGCCCCGGCGGGCCCUAAAGUCAGUGGCGGUGCCGUCCGGCUCCGAGCGUAGUAAUUCUUCUCGCUCUGGAGGUCCGGUCGUGUGCUCGCCAGCAACCCCCAAUUUUUUUCAGGUUGACCUCGGAUCAGGUAGGGAUACCCGCUGAACUUAAGCAUAUCAAUAAGCGGAGGA